AUAUGGCUCGCCGUCAUGAUCGGCCUCGUCAUUGGCUGGUCUUGGCGGCCCAGGUGGACUGGCUUGGUUUUCCUCGGCUUUCGCAGCAAGUUCAGGUUCUUGUGGACGGCGCCGCCGGGGUUUGGAGCUCGACGGCUUUGGUUGGCUUUUACGGCUCUCUCGGCUUUCUCUGUUUGCCGCACCAUUUGGUCCAAUUUCAGGGGUAGGAAUGGAAAAUCCGCAGCGACGGCUGCCGCNCACACCGGCUUCAACGCUGCCGGCCUUAGCGAGAAACUCUGGGGAGGGAAGCGGUGAUUCUAUAAGCUCCCAUGGUGAACCUGUGGAGGGAGAGGAAAUUGUCACAGAGAAUGAUUUAGAGCACCUGUUGCUUCUUCUUGAAGGUAAGGAUGGACAAAUGGAAUGGCAGUCUAUGAUGGAAAGGUCUACCUCAAACAUGUCAUAUCAAGCUUGGCGCCUUGAACCUCAGACAGGUCCUACUGUAUACCGUAGUAGAACUGUCUUUGAGGAUGCAACUGCAGAACUGGUUCGAGAUUUUUU
rnacentral:misc_RNA from 1 species